GGAGGGGUGCGAGAGCGGUUGAAUCGGCACGCCUGGAGAGCGUGUAGGCGGGCUACAAACCUGCCUCGUGGGUUCAAAUCCCACCCCCUCCGCCA
rnacentral:tRNA from 1 species